CAUAAUAUUUAGGUUCGGAGCUGAAACAUUUGCUAAUGUGAAAAUUAGCGGAAGUAGACUAUCACAAUAAAAGCUAGGAAUUGAUUAUGUCUACUGAUAAACUCCUGCUGCUGGCGAGAAUGGAUCAAUUCAUCCGACCUUCAGAUUCUCCUUUUACUGGCUGUCAUCUGGCUUUUUGUUCACCAGACGUGUGGCACCUAUCAAAGUCAGACAACAGCAUCAAUAAAAGACAACAUUGGUGCGUAUGACACCUGAUUUACCUCCAGAGAUGAGCCAACAAAGCCUGAGAUGAGGGCGGGGUCCGCCCCUCCUGGGAGUCUGAAGGGUUAACCUGGACAUCUGGCCCUCGAUCACCCAGCAGAUUACUGGAAGGUGAUACAUAACGGACAAUGAGCUAAUGUGCAUCAGCUCAGCAGGCCCUCAGGCGCCACGUGCCGCCGCCGCAAAGGAGACGGGCGCUGUGAAAUCCAAUCGGUCAGCGUGUGAGGAUGACUCCCAAGUUCAACAGGGCCUUGAAGCAGAGGAAAUGGGAGCUGCCAUUUCUGGAAGGCGCAGCGGCACGCACGGGGGACGCAUGUGUGGAUAACGACAGCCCUCAACACCCACAGAGCAAGGCACCUCGCUCUGGGAACGCCGGUGAGGGCCACCUGUACUUCCUGGAAGAGGAGGAAAAACAACUUGAAGCCGCCGCUGCAAUAAACAGGACAAACAGCCGAACGGCUCGUUAGGAAACUCAAACUGCUUCACUGUGUUGAGAGGCCAGCUGCAAUAAAACA